CGGACGGGUGAGUAACGCGUGAGAAUCUGCCCUCAGGAGGGGGAUAACGGCUGGAAACGGCCGCUAAUACCCCAUAUGCCGAGAGGUGAAAUGAACUUCGCCUGACGAUCAGCUCGCCUCUGAUUAGCUAGUUGGUGUGGUAAUGGCUUACCAAGGCUUCGAUCAGUAGCUGGUCUGAGAGGAUGAUCAGCCACACUGGGACUGAGACACGGCCCAGACUCCUAAGGGAGGCAGCAGUGGGGAAUUUUCCGCAAUGGGCGGAAGCCUGACGGAGCAACGCCGCGUGAGGGAUGAAGGCCUCUGGGCUGUAAACCUCUUUUCUCAAGGAAGAAGAACUGACGGUACUUGAGGAAUAAGCCACGGCUAAUUCCGUGCCAGCAGCCGCGGUAAUACGGGAGUGGCAAGCGUUAUCCGGAAUUAUUGGGCGUAAAGCGUCCGCAGGCGGCCUUGAAAGUCUGUCGUUAAAGCGUGGGGCUCAACUCCAUUUCAGCGAUGGAAACUACAAGGCUCGAGUGUGGUAGGGGCAGAGGGAAUUCCCGGUGUAGCGGUGAAAUGCGUAGAUAUCGGGAAGAACACCAGUGGCGAAGGCGCUCUGCUGGGCCAUAACUGACGCUCAUGGACGAAAGCUAGGGGAGCGAAAGGGAUUAGAUACCCCUG
rnacentral:rRNA from 1 species